GGCUCAGAACGAACGCUGGCGGCAGGCUUAACACAUGCAAGUCGAACGCAUCCUUCGGGGUGAGUGGCAGACGGGUGAGUAACGCGUGGGAACGUGCCCUUCAGUUUGGGAUAACCCAGGGAAACUUGGGCUAAUACCGGAUACGCCCGCAAGGGGAAAGAUUUAUCGCUGAAGGAUCGGCCCGCGUCUGAUUAGCUAGUUGGUGAGGUAAAGGCUCACCAGGGAGACGAUCAGUAGCUGGUCUGAGAGGACGAUCAGCCACACUGGGACUGAGACAGGGGACAGACUCCUACGGG
rnacentral:rRNA from 1 species